AGUCGAACGGCAGCACAGAGGAGCUUGCUCCUUGGGUGGCGAGUGGCGGACGGGUGAGGAAUACAUCGGAAUCUACUCUGUCGUGGGGGAUAACGUAGGGAAACUUACGCUAAUACCGCAUACGACCUACGGGUGAAAGCAGGGGAUCUUCGGACCUUGCGCGAUUGAAUGAGCCGAUGUCGGAUUAGCUAGUUGGCGGGGUAAAGGCCCACCAAGGCGACGAUCCGUAGCUGGUCUGAGAGGAUGAUCAGCCACACUGGAACUGAGACACGGUCCAGACUCCUACGGGAGGCAGCAGUGGGGAAUAUUGGACAAUGGGCGCAAGCCUGAUCCAGCCAUACCGCGUGGGUGAAGAAGGCCUUCGGGUUGUAAAGCCCUUUUGUUGGGAAAGAAAUCCAGCCGGCUAAUACCUGGUUGGGAUGACGGUACCCAAAGAAUAAGCACCGGCUAACUUCGUGCCAGCAGCCGCGGUAAUACGAAGGGUGCAAGCGUUACUCGGAAUUACUGGGCGUAAAGCGUGCGUAGGUGGUCGUUUAAGUCCGUUGUGAAAGCCCUGGGCUCAACCUGGGAACUGCAGUGGAUACUGGGCGACUAGAGUGUGGUAGAGGGUAGCGGAAUUCCUGGUGUAGCAGUGAAAUGCGUAGAGAUCAGGAGGAACAUCCAUGGCGAAGGCAGCUACCUGGACCAACACUGACACUGA
rnacentral:rRNA from 1 species